AACAGUGGGACAGGUGAUAGGGUGAGACCCGUAGGUCAGAUCUGGGCUUCACCCAUUUCUCCCUGCUUCUAG
rnacentral:miRNA from 1 species